GGUCGCGUAGCUCAGUUGGUUAGAGCGUGGGACUAAUAAUCUCAAGGUCGUGGGUUCGACCCCCAUCGUGACCA